AGGUUCUAGUCGGGAGACACCCGCUCUUCCUUUUGAAAAUCGGAAUGAGGACGAAGUCAGCCUAAUUAGGGAUUGUGUGGCUGUGGCUGAGGUGGCGCAACAGCCCCAAGGAGCUGAGAGUCAGCAGCAUUUGGAUGCCAGCCCCAGUGCCAAUUGUUGUGGACAAACCUCGGGGACAGCCCUGAGCUGUGCUGGUAAGUUUUCGAACAGCAGUACUCUGGCUUACUUUACUUGUUUAAAGCUGUUUUCCCUCUUACAGAGUUUCAGCGGCGGGUUAUAACCAGUUUAAAUAUCGUGAGGCACAAUCAGGCUGAAAUUAUACAGAUGCUGACAGUAGCCCUACAAAAAAAUAGUCCUCCAGAUGCAGAAACUUCAAACACUCCUGAGCCAGUGCUGCGCUGCCCACUGGACAGUGUGCGAGAAGUCCUUGAUUUCAAUGAAGAACUGACUGAAGGAAAAAGUGAAGCUCUGGUUCUGGACCUUAUGGGCUAUGGAACAAGAACCCUGAACACAACUAUUAAGUCAAUGAUGGCUUAUAUAAUGAGUGAUCAGGCUGCGUCUGAAUUUAGUAUGGACGGCCGCAAAGGCAAGGUUCGAUUUAGGGACCUGAAGCUCGUCAAAGUUCUGUUCUCGGCUGCUCGGCGGACACGCCACCACAAAGACUGCACGGUAGACGACGUGCUCUACCAUAUAAAGGAGUGGCUGCGCAG